AUGGCAGCUCCGGCCGGUAAGUGGCCGUGGGUCGGGGUCGGGACGGCCAUGACCGUCGUCACCGUGUGGUCCUGCUCCAAAUUGCCGGACUACAUCCACGACGAGCUGAGGCACUUCAUCACCAAGUGGACGCCGCUCGUCGCCGCCUACUUCAACCCCUACGUCCAGGUCACCAUCUCCGAGCAAAGCGACGAGCAGUUCCGCCGAAACGAGCUCUUCGACGACAUCUCCGCCUACCUCACCGACAAAUGCGCUGGCGGCGCCCGCAGGCUCAAGGCCGAGCUGGGGAAGGACGGCAAGCUCCCGGAGAUCACCCUGGACGACGACGUGCACGUCACCGACGACCACCAAGGCGCGCGCGUCUGGUGGUACGCGUCCAACAAGGGCCCCAGCUACAGGAGCCCGGGCCCCGUCGUCAGCCUCUUCCCCUACGACACGGAGCCCCGGCUGUUCCGGGCAGUGUUCCACAAGCGCCACCGCCGUGUCAUGCUCGACGACUACCUGCCGGGCGCGCUGGAGAAGGGCCGCGGUCUCAUCGCCACCAUGGCCAGGGAGAGGCGGCUGUUCACGAACCACCGGCCGGGGAACAGGAGCACCUGGUGCCACGUGCCAUUCGAGCACCCGGCGACCUUCGACAAGCUCGCCAUGGACCCUGACCAUAAGAAGGAGAUCACCGACGAUCUGGAGGCGUUCAUGGAUGGCAAGCAGUACUACUCAGACGUGGGCAAGGCGUGGAAGCGCGGGUACCUGCUGCACGGGCCCCCCGGCACGGGCAAGUCAACGCUAAUCUCGGCCAUGGCCAACAAGCUCAAGUACGACGUCUACGACCUUGACCUCACGUCCGUCAAGAACAACGCCGAGCUCCGGAAGCUCUUCAUCGAGACCAAGGGCAAGUCCAUCAUCGUCAUAGAGGACAUCGACGCCAUCGAGGUCGACCUCGCCGGAAACCGCAAGGUCGCCGACAAGAAGGGCGCCGGGGGCAGCUGCUGCGACCCGCUGGACCCCAACAAAGAUGACGGCAGCAAGGUGACGCUCUCCGGUCUGCUCAGCUUCGUGGACGGGCUGUGGUCAGCGAGCGGCGGCGAGCGGGUCAUCAUCUUCACCACCAACCGCGUUGACAUGCUCGACCCAGCGCUGACCCGCCGCGGGAGGAUGGACAUGCACAUCGAGAUGUCUUACUGCCGCUUCGGGGCCUUCAAGGUGCUCGCCAAGAACUACCUCAAGGUAGAAGACCACGACUUGUUCGACGAAAUACGGCAGCUGCUCGACGACACUGACACGUCACCCGCUGACGUGGCACAUAACCUCAUGCCCAAAUGCAAAAAGAGGAGGAGGGACGACUCCGAUAGGUCGUCCAGUGACGUGGCGCGUAUGGACGCCGACACUUCCUUGGCAGGUUUAGUUGAGACCCUGAAGAAAGCCAGGAGGGAAUCAGUGACUGCUCCGGCCGCCGUGAAACUUUGA
rnacentral:rRNA from 1 species